UACAGAGGUGGCAAGCGUUGUUCGGAUUCAUUGGGCGUAAAGAGCGCGUAGGCGGUCCUUUAAGUCGGGGGUGAAAUCCCGGGGCUUAACCCCGGAAUUGCCUCCGAUACUGGAGGACUUGAGUGCGGGAGAGGGUAGUGGAAUUCCCAGUGUAGAGGUGAAAUUCGUAGAUAUUGGGAAGAACACCAGUGGCGAAGGCAGCUACCUGGACCGCAACUGACGCUGAGGCGCGAAAGCGUGGGGAGCAAAC
rnacentral:rRNA from 1 species